rnacentral:tRNA from 1 species
CGGGACGUAGCUCAGCUUGGCUAGAGCGCACCCUUGGGGUGGGUGAGGUCGCAGGUUCGAUUCCUGUCGUUCCGACCA